GCUCUCAUCCAUAGAGAUGUGGCACAUGGACUCUCUGUUGUAGAUGUUAUGUUGCCUGUUACAUGGUUUGUGGAUACAAGGUCAACAAAUUGCUGGACCAUUUAUCAAUGUGUUCCUGAUGUCUGUACACAUGAUCUGUACUCAAAAGUAGAAUUCGAUUUGGCUGGUUGUACUGUUAUAUGUUUCUGUUUGAUUUUAGCUGGAUAACCACUUGCUUACAUGGAAUGAUUUUUCAAUGUUUAAUGAGUGGUACCAUAGAUGCACGGCUAACA
rnacentral:misc_RNA from 1 species